GUAAAUACCUUAACGAGGAACAAUUGGAGGGCAAGUCUGGUGCCAGCAGCCGCGGUAAUUCCAGCUCCAAAAGCGUAUAUUAAAGUUGUUGCAGUUAAAAAGCUCGUAGUUGAACCUUGGGCUUGGUUGGCCGGUCCAUCUUUUUGGAUGCGUACUGGACCCAACCGAGCCUUUCCUUCUGGCUAGCCUUUUGGCGAACCAGGACUUUUACUUUGAAAAAAUUAGAGUGUUCAAAGCAGGCCUUUGCUCGAAUAUAUUAGCAUGGAAUAAUAGAAUAGGACGUUAUGGUUCUAUUUUGUUGGUUUCUAGGACCAUCGUAA
rnacentral:rRNA from 1 species